GUAAGGACGAUACUUCGGUAGGUGAAUGGAUAAACUGUCACAUAUCCAGACAAUGGAAUGUUAUUCAGCACUAAAAAGAAGUGAGCUAUCAAGUCACGAAAAGACACAGAGGAACUUUAAAUGCCUUGUGCUGUGUGGAAAAAGCUGAUCUGAAAGGAAUGAAGCGCACGCUACAGUGUGGAUGAGCCGUGGAAACAGUAUGCCAGGUAAAGAAGCCGGCCCCGGAAGACCACGCAGUGUAUGAGUCCACCUACAGGAGGCGUCCGGACAGGCAAAUCCACAGAUAUUCUGGAGCCUCAGAAUGAAGAUGAUAUAUGGUGUCAGAUGGGGACCAGACCUGCUGGUGUGAUCACUUCGUAAGUUCACACAGGCAGAGAAGACACAGCUAUGUUGCCUCUUCUUACAGUGAUAAACCCACAUGACACUACAAAAAUGAAGAACCAAAAGAGGGAAUUAGCCAACAGAGACGAAAGUGCAGCUAAGAAACAAAAAGUGAUGACGCUGGAGUGAAAUUCUAACCAACUGUAAGUGUAGCUACAGAAGAAACAGCUGCCUGUGGGAAUGUUGCUGGUGCUGCCACUGGGGGGACUCUGGGUGCACAGUCAGAGUG